CACGUAGGGCGCAAGCGUUGUCCGGAAUUAUUGGGCGUAAAGAGCUCGUAGGCGGUCUGUUGCGUCCGCUGUGAAAACUCGGGGCUUAACCCCGAGCCUGCAGUGGAUACGGGCAGACUAGAGGUAGGUAGGGGAGAAUGGAAUUCCUGGUGUAGCGGUGAAAUGCGCAGAUAUCGGGAGGAACACCGGUGGCGAAGGCGGUUCUCUGGGCCUUACCUGACGCUGAGGCGCGAAAGCUAGGGGAGCAAACGGG
rnacentral:rRNA from 1 species